UUAAUGACGACUUUUGAUAUCUAAAGUUCUUUGCUUGUAUCGGUUCCGAUUAGGUCAACCACAAAUGGAGUUUCUAGAAGCUUGUGGGAAACGAUCUUCUGAGGAAUCUGGUGGAACUCCGUCGUCUGAGGUUCUUUUCGUCUAAACGGCCUCUCCUACAAACGGUAUCUCCCAUGCGAUUAACCAGUUCCACUUUUCCGAUUUGAAGGCAGGACGUUGCAAGGAGACAGUUGUGAAGAAAUCCAAAGAGCUUAUGGGUGUGGAUCCGGUUUUUGUCGACUAACACGUUAUGAUCGUCUAACUUCCAUCCUUUUAAUCUUAACAGUCCGCCUUGAUCCAAGGGUCUAUUAGGGUACCAUUCGCUUCAACGAUUAGACCAAGACUGUGGAGCUUACGGAGACGACAUAGAUUAUCUCGACAAAGUAGUUCAGUUUCGAGAUUAUAUUGGCUUUGGCAAAUACGAACAUGGAGAUACCGGGAAUGUGUUAUGUACUAAAUCUUCUCCAACUCUUUAACUAUGUUUGGGUUAUACUUUUCUGUAGACCCUUUGUUUCCAUUGUUUUCUGUAGACUUUUUUGGUGAUGUGUGGCAUCAAGACCACCUGCAACGAUGAAACUCAGGCAAUUGCAACGAUGGUUACAAUCUGUGUUGACAAAAUGACAACCGUAGGCAUCGGGUAUGGAGCCUAAUGGUACUGUUUCCACAAACAUAAACCAUAAAUUAGUAGGAGACUGGCUUUUCCUGAAUGCAACCUCGGGAACACACUUUUAUUUUGACAACGAAAGCCUCGCACAAAGUAUUCUAGCAGUGUUAUCUAGAACUGAUGAGAUGGUUGCAGCUCCACAUAUUCUAAGUAUGGAGGUGUGGAGAAAAUAGAAACAGUGACUCUUGCUGAGCUGAACAACUAUGUUCUGAACUCUCCAUCACGGACUGCGGAUUUUAUUUGCACUAUCGAAGUUGGUGGCAUUGAUACAACUAAUGGAUGUUGCGAUCGAAAACUGCAGUGUGGAUUCACAUCUUUCAGAUGCGCAUGCUUCAAUUACGACGAUGCAGUUAGUGUUGUGAGAUAUCAUGUUCAGAUGGUGGUCACAAAUUCAACCGACUCAACAACGGAAAUAACGAAGCUGACUAACGUCCCCGCCUUAGAAGUUGCGCAGCUCAUGGUGGAGUUCCCCCAGCAAGCUAACCUCCCACAAUGUAUCCAACAAAUUAUCAGCUAGACUUUAGUUUUCAAGCUGAAGGCUCUUUGGAUUCAAUUUUACCUCCAAGAAUCAAUCCUUCACGGUGGCCCGAAUAUUAGACAGUAACCAGCGUCCACCCAUGCCUAACUUUGGUCACCAGGGAGGGGAUGACCGGUGGCUACAUAAAUGGUGUUGUCAGCAAAAAACAGAAGCCAUCUCCUAUGAUGACCAAAAGUGUCCCUGAGAACACCAUAGGAGUUAGUGAUUAUCCUGUGAUUGUAAAAGUCCGCCGGAUCCAUGACCACGAUAUGCUCAAACUGAUGCAGUAGCUAGCCCCGCUGGUGAAACUUCUGCUUCCAAGAAAGUUCCAGAGUUUGAAAGCUGAUUUGCUAUCUUUAGUUUAAAGUUUUGAGUCCAAUAAUGCAGUAGUACUUUAAAACAUAAAUUUUGUUUUAUACGUAUGGUUUUUAAGAUUAUAGUUGGGAGAAAAAGUUCCUCAUAUUGUUAGGAUUAAAACCUAUUUAUUUGAAGUUGGACGAUGACUCUGAUUAGUAAU